AUUGAACGCUGGCGGCAGGCCUAACACAUGCAAGUCGAGCGAGCGGCGGACGGGUGAGUAAUGUAUGGGGACUGCCCGAUAGAGGGGGAUAACUACUGGAAACGGUAGCUAAUACCGCAUACUAUCGGAUAACCCAUAUGGGAUUAGCUAGUAGGUGAGGUAAUGGCUCACCUAGGCGACGAUCCCUAGCUGGUCUGAGAGGAUGAUCAGCCACACUGGGACUGAGAACAGGCCCAGACGCCUACGGAGGCAGCAGUGGGGAAUAUUGCACAAUGGGCGCAAGCCUGAUGCAGCCAUGCCGCGUGUAUGAAGAAGGCCUUAGGGUUGUAAAGGACUUUCAGUCGGGAGGCGGUACCUACAGAAGAAGCAACGGCUAACUCCGUGCCAGCAGCCGCGGUAAUUC
rnacentral:rRNA from 1 species